rnacentral:rRNA from 1 species
GAAAGAUUCAUCGGAAGAGGAUGGGCGUGCGGCGCAUUAGCUUGACGGCGGGGUAACGGCCCACCGUGGCGACGAUGCGUAGGGGUUCUGAGAGGAAGGUCCCCCACACUGGUACUGAGACACGGACCAGACUCCUACGGGAGGCAGCAGUGAGGAAUAUUGGUCAAUGGGAGAGAUCCUGAACCAGCCAAGCCGCGUGAGGGAAGACGGCCCUAUGGGUUGUAAACCUCUUUUGUCGGAGAACAAAACCCGGGACGUGUCCCGGACUGCGUGUAUCCGAAGAAAAAGCAUCGGCUAACUCCGUGCCAGCAGCCGCGGUAAUACGGAGGAUGCGAGCGUUAUCCGGAUUUAUUGGGUUUAAAGGGUGCGUAGGCGGUCUGUUAAGUCAGCGGUAAAAUUGCGGGGCUCAACCCCGUCGAGCCGUUGAAACUGGCAGACUUGAGUUGGCGAGAAGUACGCGGAAUGCGCGGUGUAGCGGUGAAAUGCAUAGAUAUCGCGCAGAACUCCGAUUGCGAAGGCAGCGUACCGGCGCCAGACUGACGCUGAGGCACGAAAGCGUGGGGAUCGAACAGGAUUAGAUACCCUGGUAGUCCACGCAGUAAACGAUGAAUGCUGGUUGUCCGGGUCGAAUGAGACCUGG